GGCAAGAGCAAGAGCAAGCAGGCAGAGGAGUAGGCUUCCUUCUUCCAUGUCUGUUAUAAUAGGCUGCCGGCAGAAGGUGUGGCCCAGAUUAAAGAUGAGUCAUUCCAUCUCAAAGUGGAUCUUCUCGAUUCAAAUGAUUUAAUUAAGAAAAAUAAAAAUCCUCACAGGUGUCCCAGCCUCUUUGGUUUGUUUUAGUUAAUUCCAGAUGUAGUAAUAUUGAUAACCAAAAAUAGCCAUCACAAAAGAAAAAAAAACUAUGCAUGAAUUAUAGAAAAAGUUGUAUUUUACUUACUAAUUUCUUAUUAAAUAAAAUGAUACUUAAAAUCUAGAUAAUUCGGUAUGUACUUAGGUCAUAAAAAAAUUCAUUAUGACCACAGUGUUGGAAAACCAUGGGAGAAGACAAGCGGCUUUAUGGAGAGUCAUGGGAACACCAUGAAGAAUAUUGUCAUUACAGUGGCUUUACAAAUGAGAACUUUUCCUUUGCUGGAAGAAAAUGUUUCAGCAAAGGCCUGGUGGUAUCUGAUCUCAGCUAACCCUUUCCAUCAUUAAAAUGUUCUCUUGCCUAAUACCAGGCGAGGCAGGCUCCAGUUCCCGUCUGGGUUACAGUUGUUCCUAUUUGUCCAACCCCUGGAGGAGUAGAGAUGUGGUGAUAGAGAAGGGUAGCAAGAAGCACUGAGCCUGGUCCUGGGAGCUCAGGCAGGUUUUGCCUUUGAUACCAAUGGAAGGAACAAGUGUCUUUUGUUUGUGAUGCUGUCAGGGCAAGGCAGACAGUAUGCAUGUGUGUAGACAAGAAUGAGAAAGCAGGACACACUGGGUUGGGCCACAGUGUGGAGGACAUGAGCGUCGAUCCAGAGCUGCUGCACACAGGGCACAGAGGUGACUGGCACAGAGGGCUUGUAGCAACAUUUGCUGACGUUCACCAGGUGACUGCACUUGAUCUUGUCUCAACUCAGUUGUAAAAGCCAGAUUACAAAAGCUCCCACCCUAUCCAGCCAAAAAUAUUGGAGGACAUGUUUGUAUUUAAUAACGCGGCACACGUUUGAUCUCAGGACUCCUAGAAACUCACAAAUUUAUGGUGCACUUCCAAGUGCUUUUGUUGAAAUAGACUAUUUUCUGAGUUAAAACUUAAAAUUCAGAGAAGCUUAGGAAAUUAAUUUUUACCCAAAUAGCAACCUAUUAUGUUUCUAUAAACAUUUUGUAUAAAGUAUAUUUCUGAAACAAAUUAGUGGGAGGGUACAUGCUUUCCUCUGUUGAAAGUGUCUCUAUGUAUGGUGUUGGAGAAGAGCUGGGAUCUCAGGCCGGGUUGGAGGGACUGCAUUCUGCAUUCUUUAUGUGAGGAAAGCCUGGUUUUAUGCAGAUGUUCAUUUGGAAAAGGGAAGAGGUUUUAACUGAUUAUUCAAAUAGUAACGGAUAUUUUGUUUACUAUCCCAAAACUCGGUGGUUCUUAAUUUUUGAAGGGUGAGUUGUGGUGUGAAUGAUUAAUUGCUUUCCCUCUGGUGCUGUUCUAUAUUACAGUCUACCCCUACCGUCCUACUUGAAUGGAUCUCUUACCCAUACAUGAUUCUGGAAGACUGAAUGGAUAAUUGCACGUCUGUCUGUAUUAUGAGAGACUACUAUGUUAAAAUACCAAAUUGUUAGCAGGUUAUGAACUGGCCUUAGCAGAAAAGCCUUUAGACUCUGAGACACUAUCAGAAUUAUACUAAUUGAAACAUAUUUUUGUUUCAAAAUUCUGAGCUUGGAUGAAAGUUUCUUCUCAGUUAUUGACAACAGUUAAAGUUACUGUGUGUCACGGGGGAAAUUGAAGUUUGGCAUUCAUACCUUGUAGUAUGUCAUUUGUUCUUUCAGCUAAAAAUGGUAUGAAGAAUACUAAGUUUGCAACUCCAGCCUUGGACAGGCUCUUAGAGCAGGCUUUCACAUACAUGCUCUGAAUUUUUAGUCAUUAACAAUUUAAGAACCUUGUAAAUUAAGACUCAAUGUUUAGUAAAACUACCUUUUUUUUUUGGAUCAAAGUUAUAACUCGUAAGAGAAGCUGAUUUUUUUUUAAAAGAAUCAACUGUGUUUAUUUAUAACCCAAUAAAGGGAAUUUCGCAUUGGUUCUGGUGCCGUGAUUUGUGCUAAGAUGCAAUCCUUUGCUCCUAGCAUUCUGCGUCAGCAAUGCACAUAUCAAGAGCAGCAGAGGGAUUGCACAUCCAUAUUAUUAUGAUCAUAGUCUUUACCCUCAUCUCUUCUUGAAAGUCUGUUAGGAUGAAUAGAUCAGGCCUGAAGAAUUGAUUGUGGGGAAAGAGGGAUGGAAGAAAUGAAAGACUUAGAAUUGGAGCCUGUGUACCACUCUUAUCCUUACACUUAUGGCAUAGGUCUAACGGUGCUGUCCUUUCCGAUGGCUUACUUUUGUGUUAAUUCAACUCCAAUUCAUAGAUCAUGAAGAGAGCACGUGUAAGUUAGUGCCUUUCUAAGUAGUCUUCUAGUCAGCUAGCCAUGAAACCGCCAAUAUGCUCUAUAAUUUUAGAGAAGGAAUUUAAUCCAAGUGACCUAAAAACAUCUCGCAUGCAAUUGAGGGAGGGGUCUUGUGCUCGGCUUUAGGCAGGGACUGCAGAUCAUUGUAGGACUGACCCUCGCAGUGCUUCUAAGUCCUUUGCCACACCAGGAGAACAACCUGGAGGGUGGCUCUGAUCGAGUGCAUACUUCUUAGUACAUAGCUUUGGCUUAGUGAAUAGAAAGCUCGAUGCUUAACCUCCGAGUGGCUUCAACUGGAUAUUGGAAUGCUAAGAAAAUACUGGUUUCACUCUGUGAGUGAGCUUUAUACAGUAAGACAUUGGCUACUGGAGUGCUACUAUAGAGCAACAUCUACACAUCCAUUAAAGAUUGGAAAAAGCAGCAGCACUAAGAUCAUGGUCACUCUGUUGCUUCUACCUCCAUAGUCUCCUGUUAGUAAUGGUAUUGAUGUGACCUGAAUUCUAUUCAUAAUCUUCUUUACAAGUGAAUAUGGAAGACAGGUUUGUUUGUUUUCUGAGGGAAACACAAUAGAAGUAUGGGGGAAUGGAAUCCAUGCACUAAUUGAUCCUGUUCCUAGAGCUUGGCUUUCUACUUUCCUAUUUCAAAUUUAUUUCCUCCCCAUCACUCUCCGGGUUCUAGCCAUUUUAAUUACUGCGAUGGCUCUUGUUUUGUGAUGCAUUUCAUACCACCUACAACCUUCCCCCCAACCCCAUCCCUUUGUCUCCAUUAUUGAGUCUGGACUGGGAAGCUUGACCUUCUUAUAGCUCUGGCCUCUUAUAGCUCCAUCUUCUUUAUAGCACCAUUCUCCACAUAGCUCCUCUUUACAGCCACAGCCUCCUUAGCUGUGUCCUGAGGACCAUGUGCUCAGUCACAUGAAACCAUGUACUUGAUGGCAUGUGAGAGGUCCCAUCAUUCCAGGUACUGUACCCCGGGACUCUGUACUGUAUGCUUCACCUAUCUUCCCAGCUGUGAUUAAAUACGGUGUAGCAGAACUUACUGUCUUUUAUGAGGUUUCAUUGUAUAUGAGGUCAUUUAAAGAACCCUUUCUACAGCAACUAUGUCUAAUAUUUUAAAAGUUCUUGUGUGCUCCUCUUGGAGAAAAAGUGGUAGGUAACAAUAAAAAGAGAUUUUUGUAAUUGUUAAAAUGCAGUGAUAAAAUUAAGGCAGCUUUUCCCAUUUUUUUCUCUUCUUUUUCUUUUUUCUUUUCUUUUUCUUGUGUAAUAUUUUAAACAUACUUAAGGUUUAAGGAAUAUGAAUAUAUAUUAUGUCCAAAACAUGAAAACAAUUCUGAUUACCCAUUCUUUUUCUCAUUGGACGGAUUUAUUUUACUGCUUAAAUUGUAAUAACAGUAUCCAUCAUCAGCGUCGUCUCUGUCGAGGAAACUGACCAGUACACAUCACAGAACUGCACUGAGCAUAUUCUACUGAAGUUGAUAAAAGCUGCAGGUUUUAGUCAUUGGAUGUAGAAGUAGAACUUGUAAUGUUCAAGUUCUCUUAAGAAAUGGGGGAGACAGCCAGGGCCACACAGAGGAACCCUGUCUCAAAAAA
rnacentral:lncRNA from 1 species